UGGGGAAUAUUGCACAAUGGGCGCAAGCCUGAUGCAGCAACGCCGCGUGAGGGAUGACGGCCUUCGGGUUGUAAACCUCUUUUAGUAGGGAAGAAGCGAAAGUGACGGUACCUGCAGAAAAAAGCACCGGCUAACUACGUGCCAGCAGCCGCGGUAAUACGUAGGGUGCGAGCGUUGUCCGGAAUUAUUGGGCGUAAAAGAGCUCGUAGGCGGUCUGUCGCGUCUGCUGUGAAAAACCCGAGGCUCAACCUCGGGCCUGCAGUGGGUACGGGCAGACUAGAGUGCGGUAGGGGAGAAAUGGAAUUCCUGGUGUAGCGGUGGAAAUGCGCAGAUAUCAGGAGGAACACCGAUGGCGAAGGCAGUUCUCUGGGCCGUAAACUGACGCUGAGGAGCGAAAAGCGUGGGGAGCGAAACAGGAUUAGAUACCCUGGUAGUCCACGCCGUAAAACGUUGGGCGCUAGAUGUGGGGACCAUUCCACGGUUUCCGUGUCGCAGCUAACGCAUUAAGCGCCCCGCCUGGGGAGUACGGCCGCAAGGC
rnacentral:rRNA from 1 species